CGAGAGCUCUCUUUGGGUCUUUUUUCUAUCGCUUGGCACUCUGUCGGUAGAGGAUGUGUGCACAGGUUCCCUGUGCUAAGGUACAACUCCGUAUGGUGUAGUGGACCGAGGGGUUCUCUGCUGUAACCAGACCUUGCACUGUGGGGUGGAGGAAGGGAACACCUGUGCUCCCCAGGUGGCCACUUGUAUCUGCCAUCCCGUGAAAUGGUGUAUGGGUCACCCGUUCAUCUCAACGAUCCAGGCAAACACUGCUGGGGAGAGGAGACAUACGACCCUCAGAAUGAAAUCUGCUGCAAUGGACACAAGUUUUGGGAUGACGGCCCCAUCCACAACAGAGGACAAAGUCCUCCUGGUAAUCUACGGCCUGCUGGGCUGCUCUGCCACCACCCUCUUCUUUAACCGCUUCCUGGAGAGGGUCAUCACCAUGUUGGGCUUCCUUAUGCGAUGGUGUCACCGGAGGAGAACACACAACAUCACACAGGGGGCAACAGCAACCAACACAAUGGUGUAGGAGAGAAAAGAGACAUGGAGGUUGGGAAAGAGGGAUGGAAGCCCUCACUCUAAUACUGUUUGCUGCUGCCCUUGUGUUGGCGUGUGGUGCUUAUACUCUCUACUCAGCCAUGGAGGGCUGGAGCUGCAUCAAGUCCCUGUACUUCUGCUUCGUGGCCUUCAGUACGGUGGGUUUCAGGGGACCUGGUUAGCAGCCAGGAAGAGUCCUACGGAGGAGCCCCCUGUGGAGCCUACCAGGUGGCUAACUGCCUCGUCAUGCUCCUGGGGGUAUGCUGUACCUACUCCCUCUUCAAUGCCUUCUCUGUCAACAUCAAACAGGGGCUG